AGUAGUUUGAUCAUGGCUCAGAACGAACGCUGGCGGCAUGCCUAACACAUGCAAGUCGAACGAGACCUUCGGGUCUAGUGGCGCACGGGUGCGUAACGCGUGGGAAUCUGCCCCUUGGUUCGGAAUAACAGUUAGAAAUGACUGCUAAUACCGGAUGAUGACGAAAGUCCAAAGAUUUAUCGCCGAGGGAUGAGCCCGCGUAGGAUUAGCUAGUUGGUGAGGUAAAGGCUCACCAAGGCGACGAUCCUUAGCUGGUCUGAGAGGAUGAUCAGCCACACUGGGACUGAGACACGGCCCAGACUCCUACGGGAGGCAGCAGUGGGGAAUAUUGGACAAUGGGCGAAAGCCUGAUCCAGCAAUGCCGCGUGAGUGAUGAAGGCCUUAGGGUCGUAAAGCUCUUUUACCAGGGAUGAUAAUGACAGUACCUGGAGAAUAAGCUCCGGCUAACUCCGUG
rnacentral:rRNA from 1 species